GGAGGACGAGAGAAGAUGGAUAGAGAAGAGGAUGAGCCUUAUCCAUGUGGCUUCAUAUAGCCACAGCUCCGUGGGCCACCGACUCACCACUAGCUUGCUGCCUGUCUGCUCACAGCAACUCCUGAGUCCGUCGCGUCCUCAGCGGCCGGAAGGAAGCGACAGCCGCCCACACGCCCGCCCGCGCGUCCCCCGAGUGCCCUUGGGCCAAGCCGCGCCGGGCUGUAGGCUGCAGGGCCACUCAGUCCCGCUGAGCGCCCGGGAGCAGAGCGGAGCGCCGAGCUGCCGGCCUCCUCCUGGCGACACCUGCAGGCCUGCGGCCGAGCCAGGCCUCGCAAUCGCGGCCUCAUCUUACCUGCGUUCCCACUACGACGAUCUGAGGCAGCUGGAUGAUGUCCGCACCCACUGUGUUGAAGACGUCCUGCAGCUUAUUGAUGACCGGGAUCAGCGCCUCCAUGACCCCCGAAACACUGGACCCCCAACCCAGCAGGCCACUGCAAUGAAUGGGGACUCGACCCACAGCCCGCUUGCUUCCUCUUCUCCUCCGCCCUUUCCUCGGGAGCCCGCACCCAUUGGGCCGGGCCAGCACCCAGCCCGCUCCCG
rnacentral:lncRNA from 1 species